rnacentral:rRNA from 1 species
UAUACGCCCUUCGGGGGAAAGAAUUUCGGUGAGGGAUCGGCCCGCGUUAGAUUAGUUAGUUGGUGGGGUAAUGGCCUACCAAGACUACGAUCUAUAGCUGGUUUGAGAGGAUGAUCAGCAACACUGGGACUGAGACACGGCCCAGACUCCUACGGGAGGCAGCAGUGGGGAAUCUUAGACAAUGGGGGCAACCCUGAUCUAGCGAUGCCGCGUGAGUGAUGAAGGCCUUAGGGUCGUAAAGCUCUUUCGCCUGUGAUGAUAAUGACAGUAGCAGGUAAAGAAACCCCGGCUAACUCCGUGCCAGCAGCCGCGGUAAUACGGAGGGGGUUAGCGUUGUUCGGAAUUACUGGGCGUAAAGCGCACGUAGGCGGAUUAGUCAGUCAGAGGUGAAAUCCCAGGGCUCAACCCUGGAACUGCCUUUGAUACUGCUAGUCUUGAGUUC